GACGAACGCUGGCGGCGUGCUUAACACAUGCAAGUCGAACGGAAAGGCCCUGCUUUUGUGGGGUGCUCGAGUGGCGAACGGGUGAGUAACACGUGAGUAACCUGCCCUUGACUUUGGGAUAACUUCAGGAAACUGGGGCUAAUACCGGAUAGGAGCUCCUGAUGCAUGGUGGGGGUUGGAAAGUUUCGGCGGUUUGGGAUGGACUCGCGGCUUAUCAGCUUGUUGGUGGGGUAGUGGCUUACCAAGGCUUUGACGGGUAGCCGGCCUGAGAGGGUGACCGGCCACAUUGGGACUGAGAUACGGCCCAGACUCCUACGGGAGGCAGCAGUGGGGAAUAUUGCACAAUGGGCGGAAGCCUGAUACAGCGACGCCGCGUGCGGGAUGCCGGCCUUCGGGUUGUAAACCGCUUUCGCCUGUGACGAAGCGUGAUUGACGGUAAUGGAUAAAGAAGCACCGGCUAACUACGUG
rnacentral:rRNA from 1 species